rnacentral:rRNA from 1 species
GAUGAACGCUAGCGGCAGGCCUAAUACAUGCAAGUCGGACGGGAUCCAUUGAUAGCUUGCUAUCAAUGGUGAGAGUGGCGCACGGGUGCGUAACGCGUGAGCAACCUGCCUCCAUCAGGGGGAUAACCUCUCGAAAGAGAGAUUAACACCGCAUAAUAUCAACAGUUCGCAUGUUCAGUUGAUUAAAUAUUUAUAGGAUGGAGAUGGGCUCGCGUGACAUUAGCUAGUUGGUAGGGUAACGGCUUACCAAGGCGACGAUGUCUAGGGGCUCUGAGAGGAGAAUCCCCCACACUGGUACUGAGACACGGACCAGACUCCUACGGGAGGCAGCAGUAAGGAAUAUUGGUCAAUGGGCGGAAGCCUGAACCAGCCAUGCCGCGUGCAGGAUGACUGCCCUAUGGGUUGUAAACUGCUUUUGGCCAGGAAUAAACCUAAAUACGAGUAUUUAGCUGAAUGUACUGGAAGAAUAAGGAUCGGCUAACUCCGUG